UACGAAGGGGGCGAGCGUUGUUCGGAAUUACUGGGCGUAAAGGGCGCGCAGGCGGCUCUGAAAGUCAGAUGUGAAAGCCCCGGGCUUAACCUGGGAACUGCAUCUGAUACUCUGGAGCUUGAGUACGGGAGAGGAGAGUGGAAUUCCCAGUGUAGAGGUGAAAUUCGUAGAUAUUGGGAGGAAUACCAGUUGCGAAGGCGGCUCUCUGGACUGUAACUGACACUGAGGCACGAAAGCGUGGGGAGCAAACAGG
rnacentral:rRNA from 1 species